AUUGAACGCUGGCGGCAGGCCUAACACAUGCAAGUCGAGCGGAUGACGGGAGCUUGCUCCUUGAUUCAGCGGCGGACGGGUGAGUAAUGCCUAGGAAUCUGCCUGGUAGUGGGGGACAACGUUUCGAAAGGAACGCUAAUACCGCAUACGUCCUACGGGAGAAAGCAGGGGACCUUCGGGCCUUGCGCUAUCAGAUGAGCCUAGGUCGGAUUAGCUAGUUGGUGGGGUAAUGGCUCACCAAGGCGACGAUCCGUAACUGGUCUGAGAGGAUGAUCAGUCAAACUGGAACUGAGACACGGUCCAGACUCCUACGGGAGGCAGCAGUGGGGAAUAUUGGACAAUGGGCGAAAGCCUGAUCCAGCCAUGCCGCGUGUGUGAAGAAGGUCUUCGGAUUGUAAAGCACUUUAAGUUGGGAGGAGGGGCAGUAAGUUAAUACCUUGCUGUUUUGACGUUACCGACAGAAUAAGCACCGGCUAACUCUGUGCCAGCCGCCGCCGUAA
rnacentral:rRNA from 1 species